UCUCCGUUGGUGAACCAGCGGAGGGAUCAUUACCGAGUUUACAACUCCCAAACCCCUGUGAACAUACCUAUCGUUGCCUCGGCGGUGCCCGCUCCGGCGGCCCGCCAGAGGACCCCCAAACUCUUGUUUUAUACAGUAUCUUCUGAGUAACACGAUUAAAUAAAUCAAAACUUUCAACAACGGAUCUCUUGGUUCU
rnacentral:misc_RNA from 1 species